CUGACUGCUAUCGGAUGAUACUAGCCAUGCGAGUCUUGUAGUAUACAGGCAGACGGCUCAGUAACACGUAGUCAACUACCCUAUGGACGAGAAUAAUCUCGGGAAACUGAGCAUAAUUCUUGAUAGAUCAUAAUGCCUGGAAUGGUUUAUGGUUAAAAUGAUUCGUCGCCAUAGGAUGGGACUGCGGCCUAUCAGCUUGUUGGUGAGGUAAUGGCCCACCAAGGCGAUUACAGGUACGGGCUCUGAGAGGAGAAGCCCGGAGAUGGGUACUGAGACACGGACCCAGGCCCUAUGGGGCGCAGCAGGCGAGAAAACUUUGCAAUGUGCGAAAGCACGACAAGGUUAAUCCGAGUGAUUUCUGCUAAAGGAACCUUUUGCCAGUCGUAAAACCACUGGUGAAUAAGGGGUGGGCAAGUUCUGGUGUCAGCCGCCGCGGUAAAACCAGCACCUCAAGUGGUCAGGAUGAUUAUUGGGCCUAAAGCAUCCGUAGCCUGCUCUGUAAGUUUUCGGUUAAAUCUGUAUGCUCAACAUACAGGCCGCCGGGAAUACUGCAGGGCUAGGGAGUGGGAGAGGUAGACGGUACUCGGGAGGAAGUGGUAAAAUGCUUUGAUCUCUCGAUGACCACCUGUGGCGAAGGCGGUCUACCAGAACACGUCCGACGGUGAGGGAUGAAAGCUGGGGGAGCAAACCGGAUUAGAUACCCGGGUAGUCCCAGCCGUAAACUAUGCAAACUCAGUGAUGCAUUGGCUUGUGGCCAAUGCAGUGUUGCAGGGAAGCCGUUAAGUUUGCCGCCUGGGAAGUACGUACGCAAGUAUGAAACUUAA
rnacentral:rRNA from 1 species